rnacentral:lncRNA from 1 species
GUUCCCCUGUCCUGUUGAGUAUAGGGAGUGAGAGAGCAGCUUGGUGGGCACCUGGUAACCAGCCACGGUUAACCCAUCACACACACCAAGGUAACCUCUUUCUUUUUUGGUGACUCAACUGUCCACCUAGUAUGGAUGCCUCUGGUGCCCUAUUCUUCUCUCUCCAUCUGUGCUGCACCAAAGGAUUUGCUUUAGACAACCACUUUUCUAACUAGCAGUUAAAACUAAUAUAAACUCUUUUCUAGAUAUAAUGUGUCUGCAGAUUCUUCCAGAGCACCAGUUUUCUCCAUCCAAAACAGUCCCAGAGCCAAGAACACUUUGGCUGCUAGAAACAUUGGCCAGAAAUAAGAAUAGUACGGAGAAGGAACUUGUGAAUUUCCUUCAGGGUUUUACCAUUAAUUGCGAACAAUCCUGCUAUCUCCUGGCUCUAGCAGUGGUUUGGGCAAAUCAGGCAUGUUAUCAGGUACAGAGGAGAAAAGUCAACCACAGGGCUAGUCUGGAGGUGCUGAGGUUUUUGAGGGCUGUUGCAGAAACUUCAGAGGGGAUCAAGACUCUUGGAAAUGUUUUCAUACCGAAGAAAAAGGAGAUACCCAAAAUCCAUAUUUUGAUAUAUUUUAAACAAUACUGAAGAGGAAACCUAAGGCUGUAAGAACAAGCUACUCAGAAGAUUGAAUAAGUGUUAUAUACAGAUACACAUAAAUUGUUAGAUGUUUUUCUAUUAAGCUAGAUAUGAUAUGGUUUUGGCCAUGGAAAAAGAGUGGAAACUUAGUGCUCUGGUAGAAAAUUACUGUCUGGCCAUUUGUUACGAACUACUGUUUGUCCUUUCCAGUGUCUGGACCUACUUUUCUUGGUGUACUUUCAUGACCUGUCAGGCUUAAUGUAUGAGAUAAGAUAAACCUGUAUUUUUUGGGGGUGGUGAAGAUACCAAGGCAUUUCAUCUGUAAGUAUGCAUUAGUGUUAAAUAAAUUUUGUUUUGCUUUGUUUUAAUACCUAAGU